GACGUAGGGCGCGAGCGUUGUCCGGAUUUAUUGGGCGUAAAGAGCUCGUAGGCGGCUUGUCGCGUCGACUGUGAAAUCCCGCGGCUCAACUGCGGGUCUGCAGUCGAUACGGGCAGGCUAGAGUUCGGUAGGGGAGACUGGAAUUCCUGGUGUAGCGGUGAAAUGCGCAGAUAUCAGGAGGAACACCGGUGGCGAAGGCGGGUCUCUGGGGCCGAUACUGACGCUGAGGAGCGAAAGCGUGGGGAGCGAACAGG
rnacentral:rRNA from 1 species